UUAUAGGGAGACCACCCAACUAUCAGUUGAAAGUAACUUGCGAAUAAACGAUAGAUUGGUUAUCCCAAGGUCGGUCGAGGAGAUGGAUGAGGCUUUCAGACUAUUCUAGGGAAGGUACAUGGGCUAUUAGCUCAGGUGGUUAGAGCGCACCCCUGAUAAGGGUGAGGUCCCUGGUUCGAGUCCAGGAUGGCCCACCUUCAUCAACAAGGGGGUAUGGCUCAGUUGGUAGAGCGCCUGCUUUGCACGCAGGAUGUCAGGAGUUCGAGUCUCCUUACCUCCACUUAAGAAUGACGACAGCACCUUAUCUAGAGAGAUUAGCGCUAGAGAGUAUGCUGGAGUUACUCCAGUCAGAACCUUGAAAACUGCAUAGAAACUUGUCAGGUAGUUUAAGAGACGCCAGGGAACAAGCUUAUAGACGAGGGAGAGAUCCCGGAGUUUAGGGAUUGGGACCUGGGGUUAAAGAACACAGACACCAAUGUGCAACUUGAGAAAAGUUGUUAAAGGAGU
rnacentral:tRNA from 1 species